AUGCGGUCCACCCGUGGGAACCCAGUAAGCUGGGAUCACCCCACCAUCUUUUGCACGCUCCCGCCACACUUCCUUUGCACCGGUAUCUCCAUGAGCUACCGGAACCGAUAUGUUGUCGUGGCAUCAUUUUCGGAUUCAUUGCCAUGGCAUCCCUUUCGUUUCCGCCAUGAUGACAAAUGCUUCAUAACAUGCUCUUAUCAACAUUUUCAUAGAAAUUGCAUAACACAUGCAAAUGUCAUCCGCAUCAUGAUAACAACAUCAAGAAUGUUUAAACUGCUGUUUACAUUAAUUUGCUCAUAUGCCAUGUUAAAAAGCUUUAUUUCAUAA
rnacentral:rRNA from 1 species